rnacentral:misc_RNA from 1 species
AUGAACUGACCAAGAACAUCUGAUCUGUUAUAGUGUCAAAGAAAUAAGUCAGAUAUGUCCAGGAGAAACCCCAGCCAUCAGGAAACGAAAACCUAAGAAAAAUAAAUAAAUUAAAAAACAUUCAAGGGGGAAUCAAUGUAAUGCUACCUUACUCCAAUACCAAGUUAGCAAGUGCAAAAAGGAUGUACCAAAAGGAGAUAAAGCUUCAGAAAUAGAUAUUAUGAACUUAUAAAGUUUCACAUCACAAUUCAGAUAAAUAGAAAUUCAAAGAGAAACAAUUACUUAAUUAUGAUGUUUUCAUGCAACUGGCAUGAUAAAGGAAUGACCUCAAUAAAGUUAUAAAGAUGUAGUAAUAAACAACUGAGAUGGAAGCCUCAGAGCUCAGACACCUAGCACAAGCAGCUAAAAAUCAUUAUCAUAAGUUAUUGUAUCACAUCAAUAAUGGUUCUAAAGUUAAAAUUUUAGAAGCACAAAGAGAUAAGAUGGAUCAGUAAAUAUUCAUGCUAGACCUACUUUGUGAGUUUUCUAUGCUCCUAUUUUGGAACAUCUUUACUUUUCAUACAUCGCCACUCACUUUGAAUGAGAUUGGGUUUAAGACCCAACCUUGCAUCUAACGCUAUUAACAUAUUGUGAUGACCAAAUACCGUACAGUUAGUCAGCGGAUAAUUGAUAAAUAAUCUACAUAAGUACUUUCCAAUUCAAAUAUGUGUUAUGAAUAAGGAGAAUAAGGGGUAUUGAAAAUAAAUAGAGGGUCUUCGGGGUUGAAACUGUAAAAAAGGAAUAGUAUGGAAGUUAGUA